rnacentral:rRNA from 1 species
CUACGGGGGGCUGCAGCUAAGAAUCUUCCGCAAUGGGGGAAACCCUGACGGAGCGACGCCGCGUGUGUGAUGAAGGCCGUGAGGUUGUAAAGCACUUUUCUUACUGAAGAAUAAUGAGGGGAGGGAAUGCCCUUCAGAUGACGUUAGGUGAGGAAUAAGCCCCGGCUAAUUACGUGCCAGCAGCCGCGGUAACACGUAAGGGGCGAGCGUUGUUCGGAUUUAUUGGGCGUAAAGGGCGUGUAGGCGGUUUAUCAAGCCUGAUGUGAAAUACCCCGGCUUAACCGGGGGGACGCGUUGGGAACUGUUAGACUAGAAUGUAAGAGGGGUAGUUGGAAUUCGAGGUGUAGGGGUGAAAUCUGUAGAUAUCUGGAAGAACACCGGUGGCGAAGGCGAACUACUGGCUAUACAUUGACGCUGAGGCGCGAAAGUGUGGGGAGCGAACAGGAUUAGAUACCCUCGUAGUC